rnacentral:rRNA from 1 species
GACGAACGCUGGCGGCGUGCCUAAUACAUGCAAGUUGAGCGCUGAAGGUUGGUACUUGUACCAACUGGAUGAGCAGCGAACGGGUGAGUAACGCGUGGGGAAUCUGCCUUUGAGCGGGGGACAACAUUUGGAAACGAAUGCUAAUACCGCAUAAAAACUUUAAACACAAGUUUUAAGUUUGAAGGAUGCAAUUGCAUCACUCAAAGAUGAUCCCGCGUUGUAUUAGCUAGUUGGUGAGGUAAAGGCUCACCAAGGCGAUGAUACAUAGCCGACCUGAGAGGGUGAUCGGCCACAUUGGGACUGAGAAACGGCCCAAACUCCUACGGGAGGCAGCAGUAGGGAAUCUUCGGCAAUGGACGAAAGUCUGACCGAGCAACGCCGCGUGAGUGAAGAAGGUUUUCGGAUCGUAAAACUCUGUUGGUAGAGAAGAACGUUGGUGAGAGUGGAAAGCUCAUAAAGUGACGGUAACUACCCAGAAAGGGACGGCUAACUACGUG